rnacentral:sRNA from 1 species
AUGGCCGGCAAUUCGAUUGCGAAACACGGGUAAUGCCCUCUUCCAUCUCAAUUCCGAACAGCAGUAACAGCAAUGUCGCCUCCCAUUCCGGUCACCAUAAUCACCGGCUUUCUCGGCGCGGGCAAAACAACAAUCAUCCUUAAUCUGAUCCCCCAAGUACCCCCAGACUACCGGCUAGCUCUUCUAAAAAACGAGUUUGGGGAUCUGGCCGUGGACUCUCAAUUAGCAUCUGCGAACUCCAUUUCCGGCGUCCGCGAGCUUCUCAACGGAUGCAUCUGCUGCAACCUCGUGGGGCAACUGGGCGACGCCCUCCUCCAACUCUGCGAUGAAGUAAAUCCAGACCGCAUCGUCAUCGAGACGAGCGGCAGCGCAUUCCCCGCCACGUUAGCAAUGGAAGUGAACCGAAUCUCGCGUGAGAACGAUGGCAAAUUCGUAUUAGAUGGGGUCAUCAGCGUGAUAGACGUGGAGAACUGGGAAGGCUACGAUGACACCUCAUACACGGCGAAGUUGCAAGCGAAGUACACGGAUCUGAUCAUUUUCAAUAAAUGGGAGGACGUACCGGAGGACCGGUUUGAUGUGUGUUUAGACCGCGCGGCAGAUCUGGAGCUUGAUACGGCCUGGGUAAAGUCUGCAAAGGGUUUCGUGGACAAGGACGUCUUGUUGGGAAUUGAUGGGGCGUUGCUGGCCAAGGAGAUAUCUGAUCGCGGACAUGCUUCAUUGGAUCUUGUGUUGUUGAACGGAAUUGAUAAUACGGCGGCUAAGGAGGCUUAUGUGCAAGAGCAUAGUCAUGGGCUUGGUGAGCCUCGGGAAAAUGAGCAUCAGUCCGAGGUGGACGUGCUCUCGGUUUCGCUUACCAGCUCUCAGCCGUCCGACACUGUCAAUACGGAGGCAUUUACUACGCUCCUCUUAUCCGCGCCCAAGGAUGAGGUCUACAGGAUAAAAGGCAUUAUCCAAUUCCCGGCUGAUUCACCUCCGGAAGACUCGUCAGGAGAAAAGGCUCAGGCGCCUACACCAAAACCGACACCAGCACCCACAAGGGACGAAGGAAAUGGAAAUGUUGAUGGAGUUGUCGCACCUGAGAGAGGAGCAGCCACCAUCAAGACGCAGAAUUACAUCCUUAACUGGGCGUUUGGCCGAUGGACGUAUACUCGCUCUCCGGCUUCCAUAGGCAAUGCUUCUAGCACUAGUAAAGAAGGCGCAAGAACGGUACCUCCCGAAAGCACCAUAAUUGCAUCUAUGACACUCAUCCUUGCCAGAGGUGAAUCUCAUAAGUGGACGCGGAAACUAGAGAGUGAAGGGCUGUUGGAGGUCGCAGGUGACUCUGCAGAAAAUAGGCGGGGAGUGACAAAGGUGGAGCGGCUUGCUUGAUGCGUUGAUGUACAGGUUGACAAGGGGCAGGGAGGGGUGACAAGAUAUGAAAGUUUACCUGAUGUAUGUACAUACAUACUACGAGAAGCGAUCUCAAGCUAAUAUUAUUGCAUCUAUUGUAUAUAUUUUUCGUAUAUAAUUUUCUAUAUGUUGGAAGCCAAAAGCAGCUGGAUUUCAUAGAAGUUUGGAUAGACAAAACAGGGACAAGGGUAACGGGAGAAAGUCUGAUAUACACUUACAAAAUUUAUCAAACAUCAAAUGAA